AAAUUGAAGAGUUUGAUCAUGGCUCAGAUUGAACGCUGGCGGCAGGCCUAACACAUGCAAGUCGAACGGUAACAGGAAGCAGCUUGCUGCUUCGCUGACGAGUGGCGGACGGGUGAGUAAUGUCUGGGAAACUGCCUGAUGGAGGGGGAUAACUACUGGAAACGGUAGCUAAUACCGCAUAAUGUCGCAAGACCAAAGAGGGGGACCUUCGGGCCUCUUGCCAUCGGAUGUGCCCAGAUGGGAUUAGCUUGUUGGUGGGGUAACGGCUCACCAAGGCGACGAUCCCUAGCUGGUCUGAGAGGAUGACCAGCCACACUGGAACUGAGACACGGCCCAGACUCCUACGGGAGGCAGCAGUGGGGAAUAUUGCACAAUGGGCGCAAGCCUGAUGCAGCCAUGCCGCGUGUAUGAAGAAGGCCUUCGGGUUGUAAAGUACUUUCAGCGGGGAGGAAGGGAGUAAAGUUAAUACCUUUGCUCAUUGACGUUACCCGCAGAAGAAGCACCGGCUAACUCCGUGCCAGCAGCCGCGGUAAUACGGAGGGUGCAAGCGUUAAUCGGAAUUACUGGGCGUAAAGCGCACGCAGGCGGUUUGUUAAGUCAGAUGUGAAAUCCCCGGGCUCAACCUGGGAACUGCAUCUGAUACUGGCAAGCUUGAGUCUCGUAGAGGGGGGUAGAAUUCCAGGUGUAGCGGUGAAAUGCGUAGAGAUCUGGAGGAAUACCGGUGGCGAAGGCGGCCCCCUGGACGAAGACUGACGCUCAGGUGCGAAAGCGUGGGGAGCAAACAGGAUUAGAUACCCUGGUAGUCCACGCCGUAAACGAUGUCGACUUGGAGGUUGUGCCCUUGAGGCGUGGCUUCCGGAGCUAACGCGUUAAGUCGACCGCCUGGGGAGUACGGCCGCAAGGUUAAAACUCAAAUGAAUUGACGGGGGCCCGCACAAGCGGUGGAGCAUGUGGUUUAAUUCGAUGCAACGCGAAGAACCUUACCUGGUCUUGACAUCCACGGAAGUUUUCAGAGAUGAGAAUGUGCCUUCGGGAACCGUGAGACAGGUGCUGCAUGGCUGUCGUCAGCUCGUGUUGUGAAAUGUUGGGUUAAGUCCCGCAACGAGCGCAACCCUUAUCCUUUGUUGCCAGCGGUCCGGCCGGGAACUCAAAGGAGACUGCCAGUGAUAAACUGGAGGAAGGUGGGGAUGACGUCAAGUCAUCAUGGCCCUUACGACCAGGGCUACACACGUGCUACAAUGGCGCAUACAAAGAGAAGCGACCUCGCGAGAGCAAGCGGACCUCAUAAAGUGCGUCGUAGUCCGGAUUGGAGUCUGCAACUCGACUCCAUGAAGUCGGAAUCGCUAGUAAUCGUGGAUCAGAAUGCCACGGUGAAUACGUUCCCGGGCCUUGUACACACCGCCCGUCACACCAUGGGAGUGGGUUGCAAAAGAAGUAGGUAGCUUAACCUUCGGGAGGGCGCUUACCACUUUGUGAUUCAUGACUGGGGUGAAGUCGUAACAAGGUAACCGUAGGGGAACCUGCGGUUGGAUCACCUCCUUA
rnacentral:rRNA from 1 species